GACGAACGCUGGCGGCGUGCUUAACACAUGCAAGUCGAACGGAAAGGCCCUGCUUUUGUGGGGUGCUCGAGUGGCGAACGGGUGAGUAACACGUGAGUAACCUGCCCUUGACUUUGGGAUAACUUCAGGAAACUGGGGCUAAUACCGGAUAGGAGCUCCUGCUGCAUGGUGGGGGUUGGAAAGUUUCGGCGGUUGGGGAUGGACUCGCGGCUUAUCAGCUUGUUGGUGGGGUAGUGGCUUACCAAGGCUUUGACGGGUAGCCGGCCUGAGAGGGUGACCGGCCACAUUGGGACUGAGAUACGGCCCAGACUCCUACGGGAGGCAGCAGUGGGGAAUAUUGCACAAUGGGCGGAAGCCUGAUGCAGCAACGCCGCGUGCGGGAUGACGGCCUUCGGGUUGUAAACCGCUUUCGCCUGUGACGAAGCGUGAGUGACGGUAAUGGGUAAAGAAGCACCGGCUAACUACGUGCCAGCAGCCGCGGUGAUACGUAGGGCGCGAGCGUUGUCCGGAUUUAUUGGGCGUAAAGGGCUCGUAGGUGGUUGAUCGCGUCGGAAGUGUAAUCUUGGGGCUUAACCCUGAGCGUGCUUUCGAUACGGGUUGACUUGAGGAAGGUAGGGGAGAAUGGAAUUCCUGGUGGAGCGGUGGAAUGCGCAGAUAUCAGGAGGAACACCAGUGGCGAAGGCGGUUCUCUGGGCCUUUCCUGACGCUGAGGAGCGAAAGCGUGGGGAGCGAACAGGCUUAGAUACCCUGGUAGUCCACGCUGUAAACGGUGGGUACUAGGUGUGGGGUCCAUUCCACGGGUUCCGUGCCGUAGCUAACGCUUUAAGUACCCCGCCUGGGGAGUACGGCCGCAAGGCUAAAACUCAAAGGAAUUGACGGGGCCCCGCACAAGCGGCGGAGCAUGCGGAUUAAUUCGAUGCAACGCGUAGAACCUUACCUGGGUUUGACAUGGAUCGGGAGUGCUCAGAGAUGGGUGUGCCUCUUUUGGGGUCGGUUCACAGGUGGUGCAUGGCUGUCGUCAGCUCGUGUCGUGAGAUGUUGGGUUAAGUCCCGCAACGAGCGCAACCCUUGUUCACUGUUGCCAGCACGUUAUGGUGGGGACUCAGUGGAGACCGCCGGGGUCAACUCGGAGGAAGGUGGGGAUGACGUCAAGUCAUCAUGCCCCUUAUGUCCAGGGCUUCACGCAUGCUACAAUGGCUGGUACAGAGAGUGGCGAGCCUGUGAGGGUGAGCGAAUCUCGGAAAGCCGGUCUCAGUUCGGAUUGGGGUCUGCAACUCGACCUCAUGAAGUCGGAGUCGCUAGUAAUCGCAGAUCAGCAACGCUGCGGUGAAUACGUUCCCGGG
rnacentral:rRNA from 1 species